rnacentral:lncRNA from 1 species
AUGGCGAAGACCUUCCGUCGGCGUUAUUUUAAAAUGGGUAGUCUCGACCCUGUGCUGAGAUUGAGCUGUUUGAAGGCGGCAUUGUGUGCAAUUUGGAUUAACGAAAGUGACACAGCGGAACCUCUCGGUGAAGAUGCAAAGGUACGUGAAAAAAUUCCAACAGAUCUGGGAGAAUAUUUAAUGGAAAAUCGCUUGGUUAAAACCUAA